rnacentral:rRNA from 1 species
AGAGUUUGAUCCUGGCUCAGAAUCAACGCUGGCGGCGUGCCUAACACAUGCAAGUCGAACGAGAAAGUGGAGCAAUCCAUGAGUAAAGUGGCGCACGGGUGAGUAACACGUGACUAACCUACCUUCGAGUGGGGAAUAACUGAGAGAAAUCUUAGCUAAUACCCCAUAACAUCUACGGAUCAAAGCAGCAAUGCGCUUGAAGAGGGGGUCGCGGCAGAUUAGUUAGUUGGCGGGGUAAUGGCCCACCAAGACGAUGAUCUGUAUCCGGCCUGAGAGGGCGCACGGACACACUGGAACUGAAACACGGUCCAGACUCCUACGGGAGGCAGCAGUGGGGAAUUUUGCGCAAUGGGGGAAACCCUGACGCAGCAACGCCGCGUGGAGGAUGAAAUCCCUUGGGAUGUAAACUCCUUUCGAUAGGGACGAUUAUGACGGUACCUAUAGAAGAAGCCCCGGCUAACUUCGUGCCAGCAGCCGCGGUAAUACGAGGGGGGCAAGCGUUGUUCGGAAUUAUUGGGCGUAAAGGGUGCGUAGGCGGUCUGAUAAGUCAUCUGUGAAAUCUAUGGGCUCAACCCAUAGUCUGCAGGCGAAACUGUCGGGCUUGAGUAUGGGAGAGGUGAGUGGAAUUUCCGGUGUAGCGGUGAAAUGCGUAGAUAUCGGAAGGAACACCUGUGGCGAAAGCGGCUCACUGGACCAUUACUGACGCUGAUGCACGAAAGCUAGGGGAGCAAACAGGAUUAGAUACCCUAGUAGUCC